GCAAAGUCAGCUGAGAAAGGACUUGGGCUCUUUUGAAAAACCUGAUCCCCAGUGGAUGGAAAGCACUUCAUACUGCCUAGCCACUUUGAUGAAGGACGGCAGAUAGCACUGCUGUGGAACGCUGCUGAGAACCGUGGGGCAGCCGCUGAGAAAACCGUUCUGAGGGUCAGUUUGGAAAGAGCCACAAGAAAAAAAG